CACAGUUCUGCAUCGCUAAGGAGGCCUCAGGAAACUUACAAUCAUGGUGGAAGGUAAAGGAGAAGCAGGCACCUUCUUCACAGGGCAGCAGGAUGGAGUGAGUGGCAGCAGGGGAAAUGACAGACAUGUAUAAAAUCAUCAGAUUUUGUGAGACUCACUCACUAUCAUGAGAACAGCAUGGCAGGAACUGCCCCAUGAUCCAAUUACCUCCACCUGGUCCCACUCUUAACACAUGGGGAUUACGGGGAUUACACUUCAAGGUGAGAUUUGGGUGGGGACACAGAGCCAAACCACAUCAUGCUGCCCCUGGGCCCUCCCAAAUCUCAUGUCUUCACAUUUCAAAACACAAUCACACCCUUCCAAUGGUCCCCCGAAGUCUUAAUUCAUUCCAGCAUUAACCCAAAGUUCAAGUCCAAAGUCUCACCUAAGACAAGGCAAGUCCCUUCCAGGUACGAGCCUGUAAAAUCAAAACCAAAUUAGCUACUUCCUAGAUAUAAUGUGGGUACAGGCAUUGGGUAAAUACACCCAUUCUGAAUGGGAGAAAUUGGACCAAGACAAAGGGGCUACAGGCCCCAUGCAAGUCCAAAAUCCAGUCGGGCAGUCAUUAAACCUUAAAAUUCCAAAAUGAUCUCCUUUGGCUCCUGUCUCACAUCCAGGUCAUGCUGAUGCAAAAGGUGAGCUCCCACAGCCUUGGGCAGCUCUGCCCAAGCUCCCUGUGGCUUUGCAGGGUACAGGCCCCCUCCUGACUGCUUUCAUAGGCUAGUGUUGAGUGCCUGUGGCUUUUCCAGGCUCACAGUGCAAGUUGUCAGUGGAUCUACCCUUCUGGGGUCUGGAGGAUGUUGGCCUUCUUCUCGCAGAUCCACCAGACAGUGCCCCAGAGGGGACUCUUUGUGAAGCCUCCAACCCCACAUUUCCCUUCCACACUGCUGUAGCAGAGGUUCUCCAUGGGGGCUCUGCCCCUGCAGCAAACAUCUGCCUGGACACCCAGGUGUUUCCAUACAUCCUCUGAAAUGUAGGUGGAGGUUCCCAAACCUUAAUUCUUGACUUCUGUGCACCCACAGACCCAAUACCAUGUGUAAGCCGCAAGGGUUUGGGGCUUGCACCUUCUGAAGCAACAGCCUGAGCUGUACAUUGGCCUCUUUUAGCCACAGCUGGGACUGAAGCAGCUGGGAAUCAGAGCACCAUGUCCGGAGGCUGCACAGAGGAAGGGGGCCCUGAACCCAGACCAGGAAACCAUUUUUCCUUCUUAGGCCUCUGGGCCUGUGAUGGCAGGGGCUGCCAUGAAGGACAUUUUCCCCAUGGACAUGCCAUGGAGACAUUUUCCCAUUGUCUUGGUGAUUAACAUUCAGCUCCUUGUUACUUAUGGCAAAUUGCUGUAGUAGGCUUGAAUUUCUUCCCAGAAAAUUGGUUUUUCUUUUCUAUUGCAUCAUCAGCCUGCAAAUUUUCCAAAAUUUUACACUCUGCUUUCUCUUGAAUGCUUUGCUGCUUAGACAGUUCUUCUGCCAGAUAUCCUAAAUCAUUUUUCUCUCAAGUUCAAAGCUCCACAGAUCUCUAGGGCAGGGGCAAAAUGCCAACCAGUCUCUUUGCUAAAGCAUACCAAGAGUCACCUUUGCUCUAGUUCCCAAGAAGUUCCUCAUCUCCAGCUAAGACCACCUCAGCCUGGACUUCAUUGUCCAUAUUACUAUCAUCAUUUUGGUGACAACCAUUCAACAGGUCUCUAGAAAGUUCCAAACUUUCCCACAUCUUGCUGUCUUCUUCUGAGCCCUCCAAACUGUUCCACCCUCUGCCUGUUACUCAGUUCCAAAAUUGCUUCCACAUUUUCAGGUAUCCUUAUAGUAGCGCCCUACCAUUUCGGUACCAAUUUACUGUAGUAGUUUGUUCUCACACUGCUAUGAAGAAAUACCUGAGACUGGGUAACUUAUAAAAGAAAGGGAUUUAGCUGACUUACAGUUCCACAUUGCUGGGGAGGCCUCAGGAAACUUACAAUCAUGGCAGAAGGUAAAGGAUGCACUUUUUUUUUUUUUUUUGAGACAGAGUCUCACUCUGUUGCCCAGGCUGGAGUGCAGUGGCAGAUCUCAGCUCACUGCAACCUCUGCCUCCUGGCUUGAAGCAAUUCUCCUGUCCCAGCCUCCUAAGCAUCUGGGACUACAGGCGCCUUCAUGCCCAGCUAAUGUUUGUAUUUUUAGUGGAGACGGGGUUUUGCCAUAUUGGCCAGGCUGGUUUUGAACUCCUGACUUCAGAUGAUCCACCCGCCUUGGCCUCCUAAAGUGCUGGGAUUACAGACAUGAGCCACCGCACCCAGCUGCAGGCACCUUCUUCACAGGGCAGCACGAUGGAGUGAGUGCCAGCAGGAGAAAUGCCAGACACUUAUAAAACCAUCAGAUCUCAUGAGACUCACUCACUGUCACAAGAACAGCAUGAGGGAAACUGCCCCCAUGAUCCAAUUACCUCUACGUGGUCCCACCCUUGACACAUGAGGAUUACACUUCAAGGAAAAACAACAUAGGAGAGUGACACAGCAGGGAUCUCGCUGAUAAAGGACCUGCAUCUGAAUCCAGCUCCUCCAUCCAUGGGCCAUGUGUCCUGGUUGCUGAGACAUCUGGAGAGCCUUGUACCUCAUCAAAAGAAGAGAGACAGUAAUCCUUGCCUUUCUUUCCUCCUAAGGUUGUUAACGAGGCUUAAAUGAGAGAACAAGGAUGAAAGUAUUUUGUAAACUCUAAUGCCCUGUGUAUAAAGCAGAGAAUAAUAGCAUCUGUGGUGUUAGAAAAUGCCUGGAACUUUGUAAAGAUGUUGUUUGAUUCAACAUUACUGGAGUAAACCACACCAUUAGACAGAAUGAAAGACUCCACCGCAGAGAGAGAGACUGAUUUUUAUAACAACUGAAUUUAUUAUAGCAUAAACUAAAUACAAAGCUCUGAAUAAAUAAUCGUUUUUUUCAGUCAUCACAUCUGCAGGUGUGUAUGUGAACAUUUCCAUAAGCACAUAAGGAUACAGAUGUCACAGACAUAUUUAGUGAGGGAAGCCCAGAGUCACGGUUCUCUGUGGGUAAGAGCUAGAUGCCUUGAGAUGAACAUACAGGGCACCGUCUCAAAUGAUUUGGACUAUGUGACUGUGUUCGUUUCUCCUUCAGACUCUGCUCAAGAAAGUGUAUUGAUAACAGGUUGCUCCGCCCUCAAGUUUAGGGCACUCUCCCACGCUCUUUCAUGCAAAGUUUUUUAACACCUCUCUUUAAGAAAAUUCACAAAUCAGAAGUAUUACCCCAGCUUCAAUCUGACAAUCAGGACCCCUACUCUGCCCCUCUUUCCUAGGAUCUUAUCUCCAUUAGGGGUCCCCUUUCAAGGUACAGGGCAAUUGAGUCUAUAUGUCCACACAAUCGGAUCUGACAAGGCUGGGAGCCCUCCCUCCAGAGCCCAUCCUCCCAUGAGUGUCAGGAGAUUGAAACCACCCUGGCUAACAUGAUGAAACCCCAUCUCUACUAAAAAUACAAAAAAUUAGCCGGGCAUGGUGGCAGACCUGUAGUCCCAGCUACUUGGGAGGCUGAGGCAGGAGAAUGGUGUGAAUCCGGGAGGCGGAGCUGGCAGUGAGCCGAGAUUGUGCCACUGCACUCUAGCCUGGGCAACAGAGUGAGACUCCAUCUCAAAAAAAAAAAAAAAAAAAAAAGGUUCACAUCACAGCAUAAGACUGAGACACUGGGUGUAUCAAGCUUGAAAGAGAUCUUGCAGGUAAUUGAGUUUCAUCUGAUACUUGACUUCCUUCUCUACUUGGCCCUUGAAUAGCCACUUGUUCCUCCAAUGUCCUAGAGUACAUUCCACUGCUAUCAGUGCUGGCUGUUAGGACAGUGGUUAGGGCAGAUGGCCUGAAGCCAUCCCCACUGUGAUCUUUACCCAUUUGUCCUGAUUUUGCCUUCUCAUGCCACCUGGCACAAGUAGGAUCCUUCUUUCUCAGGAAAACCCUUCACAGUCCCCUGACUGUUUUCUUUCCAGGCUGGGCACUCCCUGUUCCUUCAAUUACUGCUUCUAAGAUGUAGUUAAUCCCAGGAAUACAGUCUUCAAAAUGAGUCUCUUUUCCCAAAGAUUUUAUGGCUGCUUGACUAGUGGAGGACUAGAUUCUUUUCUUCCUGUUCCCUGCCAGCCUUUGCUAGUGAUAGAAUCACUUAGGAUCAAGGCAAGAGCAACUCAAAGUCUCAGAAAGACAGACAAUCAUUUUUUUGUUUUGUUUUGUUUUGUUUUUAAUACACCUCUAGCCCAGGCCUGGCAGGAUGCCUGGCAUUCAUUUGAACAGAGGGCCUGGUAUUAGCAAAGGGUUGCCCAUUCUUUGCUUGACUGUGAGAUCACACUAAGCAACCUGCCCUGCUGGAACUCUGGAAUUUGGAAGUAUUUGGCAGCAAUAUAAGGUUUGCUCAGAAGAUCUGUAUUUGAGGCCUAGAUCUGCUCUUGCCAUUACUGAAUCUCAGCUUUCUCAUCUGUAUGGUGGAGAUGAUAAGCCCUUCCUUGUUCAGUCAUGGGACAAUUGGUACCAUUCAGGUGAGUUAGUGGAGGUGAAUGCACUUAGCAAAGGGCACAUUUAAGUAUGAACUGUGCAGGCUGAUCUUGCUCAUGACUAGGUCACAGACCAUCUCUAGCUUGCCCCUGCCUACAACCCUCUACUUUUGGAAAAUGAGAAACACUUUUAGAGAAGGACAUUCAGAACUGCCAUAUCAUUGCUGAGGCUGGCUUUGCAAAAGGAAACAUUUCUUUCUGUACCAAAAAAGACAGUGAUUCUGCAGUCUUGAAACACUAAAAUAUCUUCACGCCCUAUUUUAAAACCAGAAGUAACAGGGUACCCUCAUGGCUGGGAGACACCAUGUUCCUAGAAUCAGCUGCAAUCAUAGAGCCAUCAGCCAUGCUCAAGAGCUCAGUUAGGGGGAAGGAAUGCUUGCAAAUGCUAUUGAUAAGUUCCAAAGCCAGCCUGGGCCAGGACACUUAUCCCCUGAUCAGAACAUUCACCUAGGAUUUGAUGCUCAUAAUACAAAUUUUGCUUUUGCCUUAAAAUAUUAUAUGUAGGUGUGCUCCUAGAGUUCAGUGUUGUCUCCUGAGGUAACAGAAACCUGAGUCUUCCUUGUGCUGAACAAAUCAAAUAUAACCAAAUUGUAAUAGUGACAAAAUAAGGACAAUUUUAGUUUUCUGGAAACUCAAGCCACAAACUUUAAAAAAAAAAUGUACUAGUUGUGUAAGAACUCCCAUCAAUAGUGCCAUAUAAUGCUGUAGCAUGAGACUAAUGUUUCUCAAAAAUAAUAAAGCAGAGGAGUGAAAAUUUCUGGAGUUGGCCAUGUGACAUGAGAGAUUCCUAAAACAUAGGAUAAGUUACUGGGGUUAGGAAAAGUGGGCUGUAGUGGACAGCACUCGUGCUUUCUGAUCUGUUAUUUUCCUCUCCUUCCCAGGACUACGUUCCAGACCAACUCUAUCAUUUGUGGGGCCUGGUACAAAAUGAAAAUAUGGGGACCCCUGUUCAAAAAUUAAGAAUUUUAAGAUGGAAACAGCAGAGUGUUAAAGCCAAGUGUGGGGACCUUCUAAGCAUGGGGCCCUGUGUAGUGACAGCUCAUAAGCCCAUGAAGCAUCCCUAAACACAGGAGACUGCACUUUCCAGCUCCCUGGCCAAAUCCUUGACUAAUGAGAUAUGAGUAGGGAAAGCAAUGUGUGCCACUUUUGGGGUGAGGCAGUGAAGAGCCCACACGUGAUCUCCAGUCUAUUCCUUCCCCCAUCACAGUCAACACACAGUCCUUGCAUCGAGCUGAUGGAGCCAUCAGGUUGAAGCAGUCACUGCUGUAAGAAUGGCAGUUCCAGAGUGUCACCUGGAUCACGAAAGAAGCACUUGUGUGUUAAGGCACUGAUAUCUGAGAGUUGUUUUUUAUUGCAGCAUAGGCUAAGCUUAUCCUUA
rnacentral:lncRNA from 10 species